rnacentral:rRNA from 1 species
CGGAGGAUCCAAGCGUUGUCCGGAUUUAUUGGGUUUAAAGGGUGCGUAGGCGGAUCUUUAAGUCAGUGGUGAAAGCCUGCAGCCUAACUGUAGAACAGCCAUUGAAACUGAAGAUCUUGAAUUAGGUUAAAGUAGGCGGAAUGUAUCAUGUAGCGGUGAAAUGCUUAGAUAUGAUACAGAACACCGAUAGCGAAGGCAGCUUGCUGAACCUAUAUUGACGCUGAGGCACGAAAGCGUGGGGAGCAAACAGGAUUAGAUACCCUGGUAGUCCACGCCCUAAACGUUGAUUACUCGUUGUUGGCGGAUAUACUGUCAGCGACCAAGCUAAAGCGUUAAGUAAUCCACCUGGAAGUACGACCGCAAGGUUG